AAAUAGAAACCAUUCUAGUUAUCGAAUGGAGAGAGUUUAAUAUAAGGAAGUGUAACCUGGGUCACUGAAAGACUACAAAGGGGACUGUAAAAUAUCAUGAGAGGAGGAAACAUUUGUCACACUUAGGGCUGAAAGAAAAAAGAGAAGAGACUGUGAUUAUUAACAUUUAGAAGCUUAAAGGAGGAGUCCAUGGAGGUGAAAGUCAGACCUCCAAGGAGAAGGUGAUGUUUGAUUGGUGCUAAUGUCUCUUCAUUAGUAAAAGCCUGGGAUCCAGACUCUGAAGAGGAAAGCGCAUCCCACCUGGCAUGUAGUGGUGUCUCAGGAAGAGGAGAGGGAGUGCAGAGAGGCUGGUUCUAUGAAUUGGAAAAACUUCAAACUGGACUCCACUGCUGUUACCAGAAGGAACUUCCAGUGAGGAAGUGAGGAAAUAUGUCUGGGGUGACUCUUGUGAGAACCACUAACGGACAGGAAGCCCAUAGGAAGCAACAGAUAGUAGAUAGGAAGGAGCAAGUCCCUUCUUCCUUCUCUAGCCUUAGUGUUCCUCUAGUACUCCCUAAGAACAGACUUCAGGAGGUCCACUGACAAAGCAAAAAUGAUGUUUGUAGAGUCCCAGUCCAACAUCACAAAGUGGAGGAUAAAAGGGCAGACUUGGAGCUGAGAGCUGUUGCAGUAGAAUCCUCUCCAUGGCCCCACUUGCCGCGGAGCAGAGUUCAGUACACGCAUCACCAAGCCCAGAAGUGCUCCCUCACUGCAUCUCACCUCCAGGAUGGACCCUCGGCAGGUGUAUUGUUCUCCACUGGAGCAACGUGUUCCCUUGCACUUGAGCUGAACAUGAGAACUUGUCAAAGGCCAUUCCUCAUCGUCCCAUUGUUGAUUUAUUUAACUCUGCAAAAUAGCUUAUACAGCCUCUUUCCCUUUGCCCGAGACACACAUUGCAUUUGAAUCCAAGGGCUUAGCGGAAGGCCUAUGAAACCCAUGUUGACCAUAAGAUGAGGGCUCAGAUGGGUAUGCACCAACUCCUAAAUCCUUAUUUUAAUGAGGCAAAACCUUAGACCCUUCCUGUUUUUCCUUUCAGAUCAUUAUUUAUCAGGACACUUUGGGUCCUGCAUCUUGUCCCCACUAUUUAAUUACCCUCUUGUCUCUAUUGUCACUGUAUCAUGCACCUAUUUCUGUUAUUGUCUUUGUGUGUAAAAAAUUACCCAUCCUUCAUUUUCCAAUGGACUGAACAUAGGAGAUUCACAGAUGAUCUCCUAUACUCAGAUCACCACUUGCUGUCUAUAUUUGGAGUGAGAGAAUGAAGAACGAAAGCCAUGUAUUUUGAGUGGGUAAUAAUUAAAUUGAGAAUGAUGCUGUCUACAUCUAUCC
rnacentral:lncRNA from 1 species